UACGUAGGGGGCGAGCGUUAUCCGGAUUCACUGGGUGUAAAGGGAGCGUAGACGGCGACGCAAGUCUGGAGUGAAAGCCCGGGGCCCAACCCCGGGACUGCUCUGGAAACUGCGGCGCUGGAGUACGGGAGGGGCAGGCGGAAUUCCUGGUGUAGCGGUGAAAUGCGUAGAUAUCAGGAGGAACACCGGCGGCGAAAGCGGCUCUCUGGCCUGUAACUGACACUGAGGCUCGAAAGCGUGGGGAGCAAACAGG
rnacentral:rRNA from 1 species